UACAGAGGUCCCAAGCGUUGUUCGGAUUCACUGGGCGUAAAGGGUGCGUAGGUGGGCAGGUAAGUCAGUGGUGAAAUCUCCGGGCUUAACCCGGAAACUGCCAUUGAUACUAUAGGUCUUGAAUUUUCUGGAGGUUAGCGGAAUAUGUCAUGUAGCGGUGAAAUGCUUAGAUAUGACAUAGAACACCAAUUGCGAAGGCAGCUAACUACAGGGAUAUUGACACUGAGGCACGAAAGCGUGGGGGAUCAAACAGG
rnacentral:rRNA from 1 species